UACGUAUGGGGCAAGCGUUAUCCGGAUUUACUGGGUGUAAAGGGAGCGUAGGCGGCCUGGCAAGCCUGAUGUGAAAUACCGGGGCCCAACCCCGGGGCUGCAUUGGGAACUGCCAGGCUGGAGUGCCGGAGAGGCAGGCGGAAUUCCCAGUGUAGCGGUGAAAUGCGUAGAUAUUAGGAGGAACACCAGUGGCGAAGGCGGCCUGCUGGACGGUGACUGACGCUGAGGCUCGAAAGCGUGGGGAGCAAACAGG
rnacentral:rRNA from 1 species